GUAACAGUGCAGUAUGGCUACAAUAAAUUGUGGUAUAAAUGGUGAAAAAAUACUCCCAAAGUUAUAAUUAAACAAAAAUUGUCCUUUUUAUAUGUAGUGUUUUGGUUUUUUUUCUAGAAGUUAAUGGAAGAAGCACUGUAACCUGGUUUGUCAGGGACAUGGCAGCAAAGCAAAGACUCCUGCAAAUUGAAGCCCCCAAACCAAAGGUCUCUCUAACAUGUGGGAUGAAGAACUGUGCCUGAAAGUGCUGCCGUUCCCAGAUGCUGAAGUCUUGGAAGAGGCUGAUUUACAUCUCUGUGAGUCUGUGUAUCUAUCAGACUGCUUUUCCUUACAUCUGGUGGAUUGCCUAUUACUGCGAGCUAGAUCAGAGGCUCUGCAGCAAUGGAUUUAUAACAGACAAACCACUCAAUCUGCUCAUUC
rnacentral:lncRNA from 1 species